rnacentral:rRNA from 1 species
GAUGAACGCUGGCGGCGUGCCUAACACAUGCAAGUCGAGCGACGGACCAGGGCUUGCCCUGGGGUAAAGCUGCGGACGGGCGAGUAACACAUAGGUAUCGUACCCCCAUUACCGGGUGAACUCGCGGCAACACGGGCUAAUACAGACCGUACAAUCCUCUGAUGCGGGAGGCGCGUAAGGGAAGCUCGGUCCUCCUGACCGGGAUCGGCGGUCCCGCGCUGUAUUAGUUGGUUGGUGAGGUAACGGCCUACCAAGGCAACGAUGCGUAGCCGAUCUGAGAGGAUGAUCAGCCACACUGGAACUGAGACACGGUCCAGACUCCUACGGGAGGCAGCAGUGGGGAAUCUUGCGCAAAGGGCGAAAGCGUGACGCAGCAACACCGCGUGGGGGAAGAAGGCCUUCGGGUUGUAAACCCCUUUUAGGAGGGACGAAGGGCGGUCGGUGAAUAGCCGUGCAGGUUGACGGUACCUACACAAGAAGCCCCGGCUAACUACGUG